CAAUCAUUUUAUAGAUAAGUAUAAGAGAAGAUUGUUCAUCAGUAAGAAGUGGAUAAACAAGUUACAGAAAGGCUCUAUUAUCUUUGGGAUCUAAUGUCAGAGAUGUGCCAACUCAGUAGGCAAGAACAUCGAAAGACGUGAUCAGAUGAACUGGGAACUAUAUAUACAUUAGUUCCUGCCUUCAUUCCAUCGGUCCUCCUAUUUUCCGAAGCUGACGAUCAAUUUUGAGUUACAAUUUUUGCAAAGCUCUUGGAUAAAAAUGUGUCAAAUUUUAGUUAAGAAACAAAAAGCUGUUGAAAGUAAUUGUGAAAAUUAAUGGAAUGUAGUACCAACAAAUAAAAUUUGUGAAGAAUCCAAUACAGAAAGCAUUUGUAGCUUGCUGCUCUUCCUGCUGUCAACCUUCACCUGUUUUGAAGCAAGGCCAAAUGUGUUUUUACAGAAGAUUGGAAAGGAACAACACCUUCACAGUAUCAAGACAAGGAGGCACAAACGCAUGCAUGCACGCACGCACACACACACACACACACACAUUUACGGGUUUCUGUUUCUGUCAACCAAAUCUACUUACAACACUUUGGUUGGCCCAAGGCUAAAGAAGACAGCCCAAGGUACUAAGAAGUGAGACUGAACACAAAACCAAGUGGUUGGAAAGUGAAUUUCUUAACCACACAACCAUGACUCUGUGUGUGUGUUGUUGUAUGUGUGUAUGUGUGUGUGUGUGUGUGUAAACACAUAGACACAGCAGCUUUAUUCUCUUUCUAGUACAAAAAUAGCAAGCAAAUUCACUUGAGUAGUCAUUAAUUAAAUGUAAAAUUGAGAAAUCAGAAUAAAAAUGAGCUAUGAACAAAUAUUCUUCACACAGACACAAAUAAAAAUAAGUCAUUAAAUGUAAUCAUAAUUCCUUCCUAGUUCAUUAACUGGCAUAAAACUUUAUAAAAUAUUGAGAUGAUAUAUAUAAAGUAUUCAUAGUAUGUUUGACUAUAAGAUUGUAAGCAAACAGACUCUGGAAAUUUAAGAUUUGAAGUAAGUUAAACAUAACUAUGUUAGCAAUGUAAGGAACACACCCUAUCUGAAGGGAAUUCCACAUUUUGUUUUUAAAAUAUUAGAACCUACAACUAAAUAUUUCUCAAGAUGAAUUUAUAACACUAAACUAAAAUGGAUGUGAGCAAAUAUCUAAAUUAAAACUGAAAAAUAGAUCCAUUAUAAUAUUCUGGGAUGAAACAUAUUUUUUUAUAUUUUCUAACAGUAAAGUUUCUUCCUUUUGUUAAUGUUUAAUUUGAGCUACAAAACUUUUACAUAUAUUUUUCCAAACAAGCAAGAAUGGAACGUUUCCAAUGUAAUGUUUGUUCUCUUUCACUUCAUAUGAUUGCAGCUUGGUUUUUAUAACUGGAUACUCUUCCUUUCACAAACUAUGUAUGAGCAUUAAGAGAAAUUCUCCACCUAGUCUCAAGGCCGUCUCUAACAAAUACAGAUUUCAGCCGCAAUUAUUAAAACAGACAAAGCAUGCUUGUCGUUUCAUCAUCCCUCUUAAAUAGUAUAUUAUUUCAUUAGAAAAAAAUACUAGAUGUUUUUAAUUGUAAGAGAUAUGAAGAGAAAUACUACAUUAACCAACACACAGCAUUGAUUGCUUAGGCAAAUGUCUUCUAACAUACUUCAGAUUGACCAGUGCCUUGUAGAUUCACAGAUUAUUAUGAAGAAGGAUUAAGGUAGCAAGCUGGCAGAAACGUUAGCAUGUCAGACAUAUUGCUUAGUGGCAUUUCUUCUGACUCUUUACAUUCUGAAUUUGAAUCUCACCAAGGUUGACUUUCCUUUUUCAUCUUUUUAGGGUCAAUAAAAUAAAGUACCAGUCAAAUGCUGGGGUCAAUGUAAUUAACUUGGCUUCUCCCUUUAAAAUUGCUGACUUUGUGUCAAAGUUUGAAACAAUUAUUGGAGAAGGAUGUAAACAUCUACAACAAAAUGAACCAAGCCCUUUGCAAUAUUUGUUUUGCACCAAGUUUAAGAUACUGUUUUGUUGUUCUCACCAUCUGAAAUGCAGUGAACUAGUAAUUGCCCCAUUCAAUAUACAUAAGCAAAACUAUUAUUGUUCAUUAAUUACAAUAUAAAAUAAAUAAGAGUCACAUCCUGUCUCUUUUCUACUAGCAUAUCAGAGACAUCUGCUUCUAGCUGUCUUUGUCCUUUGAUUUCACACCAUCCAGUAUUCCUGUUGACAUCUCUUACAAUAACAACAGUGCACUCAUCCAUAAGCAAGUACAAUUUGCUGUGAAGAAAUCCAGCCAACAGAAAUAAGCUGCUGCUUGCCACCAGAGAAUGGUUACUGAGACAGUUUAACCAUUGGUAUUGUUGGUUGCUUUCUCUAUUUUUAACAAAUUUUUUUUCUCAUACUGAAGAAACCAGCUCUACUAAGAAAACAGAUUAGCAAUACUUAUCUUGACAAUUUUUUUUUAGAUGCAUCUUCCAAAAGUUUAUCUUAUUUCAUUCAUUUUUAGCAAUAGUCCAUUCCCAAAUUCUAUUAAAUUCUAAGAAUGUGCAAUGACUUCCACAUGUUACAUAGAUUUUGUUUUUA
rnacentral:misc_RNA from 1 species